AAAGGAAUUGACGGGGACCCGCACAAGCGGUGGAUUAUGUGGUUUAAUUCGAUGCAACGCGAAGAACCUUACCAAGUCUUGACAUCCCUGGCGAAGGUGUAGAGAUACACUGGAGGAUAUCCGGGUGACAGGUGGUGCAUGGUUGUCGUCAGCUCGUGUCGUGAGAUGUUGGGUUAAGUCCCGCAACGAGCGCAACCCUUGUCUUCAGUUACCAGCAUUCAGUUGGGGACUCUGGAGAGACUGCCGGUGACAAACCGGAGGAAGGUGGGGAUGACGUCAAAUCAGCAUGCCCCUUAUGACUUGGGCUACACACGUAAUACAAUGGCGCACACAAAGGGAAGCAAUAGGGUGACCUGGAGCAAAUCUCAUAAAUUGCGUCUCAGUUCGGAUUAGAGUCUGCAACUCGACUCUAUGAAGUUGGAAUCGCUAGUAAUCGCGAAUCAGCACGUCGCGGUGAAUACGUUCUCGGGUCUUGUACACACCGCCCGU
rnacentral:rRNA from 1 species